CUCGCGUUCCCCGAAUCCCCGAGCAAGCAGGUCUCCUUCCCUGCGGUUUGCUCUCGCGUUCCCCGAACCCCCGAGCAAGCAGGUCUCCUUCCCUGCGGUUUGCUCUCGCGUUCCCCGAAUCCCCGAGCAAGCAGGUCUCCUUCCCUGCGGUUUGCUCUCGCGUUCCCUGAAUCCCCGAGCAAGCAGGUCUCCUUUCCUGCGGUUUGCAGGGGGGUUCGGGGAACGCGAGAGCAAACCGCGGCGAAGCUAGUCUCCUUCCCCGGUUUGCUCUCGCGUUCCCCGAACCCCCCUUGAAGCCUCCCAACAGCGCUGCAGUGUGGCCACAUCUAACACCACUUGCAGCGCUGGUUGCUGUAAGUGUGGCCACUCUGCAGCGCUGGCCCUAUACAGCUGUACUAAUACAGCUGUAACAACCAGCGCUGCAAAAUUGUAGAUGUAGACAUACC